GAGCCAAAGUAGAGCCAGCUACUACAGCGACUGAAAUGACUACAACACUUAACAAAGAGCUGCAGUUAGUUUCAGAAUGGGUUGCAAGGAAUAAGUUAGUCCUAAAUAUUUCUAAAACUAAAAGCAUUGUAUUUGGACAAAUAAUUCACUAAACCCUAAACCUCAACUAAAUCUUGUAUUAAAUAAUGUGGAAAUUGAGCAAGUUGAGGUGACUAAACUGCUUGGAGUAACCCUGGAUUAUAAACUGUCAUGGUCAAAACAUAUUGAUACAACAGUAGCUAAAAUGGGGAGAAGUAUGUCUAUAAUAAAGCACUGCUCUACCUUCUUAACAACACUAUCAACAAGGCAGGUCCUACAGGCCCUAGUUUCUACCUUCUUAACAACACUAUCAACAAGGCAGGUCCUACAGGCCCUAGUUUCUACCUUCUUAACAACACUAUCAACAAAUCAGGUCCUACAGGCCCUAGUUUCUACCUUCUUAACAGCACUAUCAACAAGGCAGGUCCUACAGGCAUUAGUUUCUACCUUCUUAACAACACUAUCAACAAGGCAGGUCUUCCAGGCCCUAGUUUCUACCUUCUUAACAACACUAUCAACAAGGUAGGCCCUAGUUACUACCUUCUUAACAGCACUAACAACAAGGCAGGUCCUACAGGCCCUAGUUUUGUCGCACCUUGACUACUGUUCAGUCGUGUGGUCAGAUGCCACAAAAAGGGACUUAGGAAAAUUGCAAUUGGCUCAGAACAGGGCAGCACGGCUGGCCCUUGGAUGUACACAGAGAGCUAAUAUUAAUAAUAUGCAUGUCAAUCUCUGAAAGUGGAGGAGAGAUUGACUUCAUCACUAGUUGUAUUUAUGAGAGGUAUUGACAUGUUGAAUGCACUGAGCUGUCUGUUUGAACUACUGGCGCACAGCUGAGACACCCAUGCAUACCCCACAAGACAUGCCAACAGAGGUCUCUUCACAGUCCCCAAGUCCAGAACAGACUAUGGGAGGUGCACAGUACUACAUAGAGCCAUGACUACAUGGAACUCUAUUCCACAUCAAGUAACUGCAGCAGUAGAAUCAGAUUUUAAAAAAAGAUAAAAAUACCCCAGGAAGAG
rnacentral:lncRNA from 1 species